UGCACUCACUACUGUAAGUCACUCUGGAUAAGAGCGUCUGCUAAAUGACUAAAA
rfam:Salmo salar isolate Sally breed double haploid chromosome ssa28, whole genome shotgun sequence.